GUCCCAAGUCAGAGCCCACACAGGGUCAGCCACUGAGCACAUUGCAGUGGAGGAUGGUGAAUGUCAGGGAGAGCUUUUUCUGUUGGACUCAGACUGGCACUGAGCUGGGACUGACCAGUUCUGCUGUGGACCACAGACACUGACAACCCGGAGCCAUCAGAGUUCCUCUGAGCAUUUACCCAAGUCUAACAGAGGCCUGCUGGCAGGAGGCGUUCACAAGGUCUUAAUGAAGCAGGCGCUUCAGAUGGGGCUUCACGACUCUAAAGGCAAGUGUCCCUGCUCUGCGUGACAGAUGCCAUCCCAGGAAAGGCUGCCUGUGCUACCGCCUUGUGAGGGGCCAUCUGAAGCGCGACCUCACCCUGCCCUUACACAACCUCAGCCUACAGAUGAGCGCUCCGUGCGGAUGGAGAACUACUUGGAUACGUGAGGAACAGCCAACCAAGCCCCUCAUCUCAAAGCUUUGUUUGGAAGUGAUCAUCAUCCUCUUGGGGAGUCACAGCUGCCUGAUCAGUCACCCCUGAACACAGAUGACCCACCCCACCGCAGCUACAGAAGGAAGAGUAAGAAUGCACCCAGGCUGGAGGUGACUGAUGGUAUGGAGAGCCACUUUGACAUGUAUUCACCCAUUUAAAUGCUCUGAAAUAGGACUGUGGUAAU
rnacentral:lncRNA from 1 species